rnacentral:misc_RNA from 1 species
GUGAGUCAUCGAAUCUUUGAACGCACAUUGCGCCCGCCAGUAUUCUGGCGGGCAUGCCUGUUCGAGCGUCAUUUCAACCCUCAAGCUCCGGCUUGGUGUUGGGGAUCGGCAGCCCGGCUUCGCGCCGACGCCGUCCCCCAAAUGCAGUGGCGGUCACGCUGUAGCUUCCUAUGCGUAGUAGCACACCUCGCACUGGAGAGCAGCGCGGCCACGCCGUAAAACCCCCAACUUUUUGUGGUUGACCUCGAAUCAGGUAGGACUACCCGCUGAACUUAAGCAUAUCAAUAAGCGGAGGA